AGCUUUGCCCAGCGGCAGUAUUAUAGCCAGUGAGGUUUAUCCCAGGUGCAAUUAUCGCCAAUUGAAAACUUUUCCCGAUACCCCACCAUGACGACUUGAAAUAUAGUCGGCACUGGCAAUUUUUGACAGUCUCCACAGAGA
ensembl:snRNA U4 U4 spliceosomal RNA